rnacentral:ncRNA from 1 species
GGGGAAGUCCGGUCCGAAUCCGGCGCUGACCCGCAACGGUAGGCCACCAGCAUCCAGCUCGGUGGUGAGCCCGAUCACCC